ensembl:lncRNA
CACUCCGUUAGUUCUAUCAACACUCCAUGGGUCCUGGUUCCUAUAUGACCCGGAGUCAUCGUCCAUCUCUCCUCUCCUCCUCCUGGUCUCACUAGAUGAGGGCCCGUGGUUCAGUCAUUGAAAGAACCUUGUAACCUAGUUACUGGCGCUCAGCGGGGGAGAGACAAUCAAUUAAUGAACAAAGAAAGAGGCUCACUGGGACAUUGCCUGCUGGUAGACUACGAAGUGCUCACAGUGAAGCCAGAGGAAAGCCAGAAGAUGGUUACAGAAGGAAAGUAGUUUGCAAGCUGGUCUGCUACUGUUGGCGAGCCACUGGAGGAUACUUGGUGACCAACUUGUUUUGGUCAUCGAUAGAGAUCGUCCAGGAGGGUGCUUGUCUGGGAAUGACCUUCAUGACCUCACCACCGCUCCGCCCCGGAAAUAUCAACCGCCAACCAGAAGCUCUGUACUACGGCCUACAGGAUGUGGUUGACUGGUCCCAGUGAUGGACAGGUGACCAGCCAGCCCCCUAGCUGCCCUCUCCUGCCGUGACUCCCACCCCUCCGCCCCCACCCCCCC